rnacentral:rRNA from 1 species
UACGUAGGUCCCGAGCGUUGUCCGGAUUUAUUGGGCGUGAAGCGAGCGCAGGUGGUUUAUUAAGUCUGGUGUGAAAGGCAGUGGCUCAACCAUUGUAUGCAUUGGAAACUGGUAGACUUGAGUGCAGGAGAGGAGAGUGGAAUUCCAUGUGUAGCGAUGAAAUGCGUAGAUAUAUGGAGGAACACCGGUGGCGAAAGCGGCUCUCUGGCCUGUAACUGACACUGAGGCUCGAAAGCGUGGGGAGCAAACAGG